GACGAACGCUGGCGGCGUGCUUAACACAUGCAAGUCGAACGGAAAGGCCCUGCUUUUGUGGGGUGCUCGAGUGGCGAACGGGUGAGUAACACGUGAGUAACCUGCCCUUGACUUUGGGAUAACUUCAGGAAACUGGGGCUAAUACCGGAUAGGAGCUCCUGCUGCAUGGUGGGGGUUGGAAAGUUUCGGCGGUUGGGGAUGGACUCGCGGCUUAUCAGCUUGUUGGUGGGGUAGUGGCUUACCAAGGCUUUGACGGGUAGCCGGCCUGAGAGGGUGACCGGCGUCAUUGGGACUGAGAGACGGAGCAGAAGGGUACGGGAGGCAGAAGGCGGGAGUAUUGCGGAGUGGGGGGGAGUGUGAGGCGGAGACGCCGGGUGCGGGAUACUGGGUUUCGGGUGGAGAACAGCUUUCGACGGUGCCGAAGCGGGAGUGACGGUAAUGGGUCAAGAAGCACCGGCUAACUACGUG
rnacentral:rRNA from 1 species